AAAAAAAAAUAACUAGCUAAUUUAUCUAGAAAUACAAAGGUGUUAUAUUAUUACUUUGCACCAGUCAUAAUAUAAAUUGUACGAAUAUUUCUGAUCUCCAGAAUAUAUGGUUCAUUAAACAUUUUCAGAUUCCUAAUUGGCAUUACCACUUACAGGACUCAUUUACAAGCUUGUCGCUACUUUUUAUCCACCAGCCCCAUCUCUAAAUGCCUGUGUAAAAG